AGUAACUAAAGUAACUAAAGCUGUCAGAUGAAUGUAGUGGCAGUAACUACAGUAACUAUUAACUAAAGCUGUCAGGUGAAUGUAGUGGAGUAACUAAAGUAAUAGUAACUAAAGUAACUAGUAACUAAAGACUCGUCGAUGAAUGUAGAGGAAUAACUAAAAGUAACUAGUAACUAAAGCUGUCAGUAGAUGUAGUGAGAGUAACUAAAGUAACUAAAAGUAACUAGUAACUAAAGCUGUCAGAUGAAUGU